rnacentral:lncRNA from 1 species
UUUGUAUUUCGACGCUCAAAUCAAAAGUUGGUACAUAAUAAAUUUAUAAUUCCGAAUCGAUAAUUGAUUAGGACAUUUAAUUGGAGUGAUCUUAGAUUAUAUUAAUUAAUGCAGGCAAUUCAUCAUUUAUAUUGGUAAAAACAAGUUUUUACUCCAAAAUUUGAGGCUUUGAGGCCUUCACAAAUAUUAAUUACUGUUCAUGUAAACAUAAACAGACUAUCAAGCUUAUGUAUAUAACAAGAAAAUAAAUUAUCCCUUACACAUUCUAGGAUUAAUUCCCCAUAUAUAGAUUAUUUCUUGCCCCCAAAGUAUCUACCAAGCUUAAGCUUACCCCAUAUAACCAAGUCCUACAGCAUAUUGAACAAGAGCUUCCAACUCUUCCUCACUUAUGAACCCAUCUCCAAUUUCAUCAGCAUGAAGUGCUGCAAGAGACCAAGGUCAUUGAGGGCUUUCUUAAGCUCUUCCAGGCAGGGCCUGGGUUUAUAUAGAGGUUAUUUCUCCAAGCA